rnacentral:rRNA from 1 species
CUGCCGGUGACAAACCGGAGGAAGGUGGGGAUGACGUCAAGUCAUCAUGGCCCUUACGGCCUGGGCUACACACGUGCUACAAUGGUCGGUACAAAGGGUUGCCAAGCCGCGAGGUGGAGCUAAUCCCAUAAAACCGAUCGUAGUCCGGAUCGCAGUCUGCAACUCGACUGCGUGAAGUCGGAAUCGCUAGUAAUCGUGAAUCAGAAUGUCACGGUGAAUACGUUCCCGGGCCUU